UCAACUGAAAGCCUCAAUGACUAGGUCAAAAGGGGGAGGAGCCCCAGGAAAGUAGCUUCCAAUUAAGUAGAUCCAAUUAAGAGACUGGAAGAAAACAAGUUUUUAAAAAGGCUAGGAGACAAACUUGGUGGUACAAGCCUGCAAUCCCAGCUACUGGGGAGGCUGAGGCAGUGGGGUCUGGAGUUCCGGUCUAGCUUGUACCCUGCGGCCAGGAAAGGCAGACCUGGUGGUACAAGCUGCCAGGUGACUCAGGAGGCUGAAGGAGGAGACUCACAACCACAAGGGCCUACCUGAACUUCAUAACGUCCACUCCGGGACCACAUUUGACUGUCUUCAUCCGGUGUGGAGAGCAUCCGUCAUCUGCUUUCUGCACGCAGCUGUAGCACUCCAGGGCUUGCGCUCCUGCGGGGGCCCCAACUCUACUUUCCUGUCAACACACCCACCUUCACACAGCAGUAGCGGUAGCAGUAGCAGCCACCCGGUGGUCCACAUCACUGGCUGUGUAUCUCUUCUCCUGGCGGCAUCCAUAGCUGUGUCCUGCUCUCUCCGCGUCCCCCCUGGGUGUGCCACCUUCCAACCCGGGUCCUCUUACCUGAGCCUCAGAUGAGUAACCUACCCUGGGGCAACCCUGGCCUUGCCCAACCAGGCCAACUCAGCGUCCGCUGUGGGGCGGGCCCGCCUCUAGGAACAAACAAGAUCAUUACACCAAUCAUGAUGUGACUCCACAAGCCCACAUUCUGUCCCUAGGUCUUUGGUUCUGGCUGUCUCCUAGGCAGGAUGUUGUGGCGUGAUGCAGGCCCAUAAUCCCCAUACUCAGAAGGCUGAAGCAAGAGGAUUGCAUGUUCAAGGCCAGUCUGGGUUACAAAAUGGUGGACCUUGGAGAUUGAUUAGAGGGUAAAAGCGCUCACCACCAAGCGUGACAACCUGAGUUUGGUUCCCAGGACCCGCGUUGUGGGAGAGAACACAUCCUCUGACCUCCACGUGUGCUCAGAUGUACACACAAUAAUAAACAGAGUACACUUUGUAAAAAAGAGAGAGAGAAUAUACCAGUCCUUUUAUAAGCAGCCUGUUGAGAAGAGGGGAGCACAGUAGCCAUUCCUAAGAGGGGGAAACUGAGUCACAGAUAGAAAGCUACUCUUCUCCAUAGGCCAGUGGACGGGCGGUCAGCCCCAGAAGCCCAGACUAUGGUGGGAAAGGGCAGCUGUGUUCAGAGAGAUCUCUGCUGCCCAGCACCCCUGUUCCCAACAAUGACAAGCACCUCGGUCACUUAGGUGGGGUCACCUGUCAUCCAGGGAAGACUCAGAGAGAAAGUGAGCGAUUCUUGUGAUUCAUUCAAAACUGGCUUCAGCUGUGCUGCCUCCGCCUCAGGAUCCCAGCCCUACACCUUGACUAUGUGACCCUGAAUUUAUGUUCUCUCCGAGACUCCAAGG